GACCAAUUGCCCACGCAUUAACUAGUACUUGUGAAUUCUUUGGAAUUGUGAAGCCACAUAUUUCUACGUCUGUUUCAGCUUUAUGGGGAACUAGCAGUGGGGCUGGUGGGUGCAACCGAAAGGUUUCUUUAACUAUGGAUUGUAAGUAAGGGAACUUCGAGAUGUCUGAUUCUUGAACUAUCCCUUCAUUCCCAAGGACUCCUCGGAUCUCCUUUUGAGCUUUUGCAAUUUUUUCCGGGUUGCAUAGUAACUCUGCCAUUGCCCACUCUACUGUGCUUGAAGUCGUGUCAGUUCCCGCAACAAAGAGAUCCUGAUCAUACAAAGCAAUGUUAGAAUUAAGGUUUCAUUGAUCAUAAUUUGCAAUUUGCACUUACCAAUGUUUUCUACAUGAAAUCUCAAGAAAAAUGUGUGCAAGAAGAAACUCCAAGGAAGACUGACUUCUAAUUCAUUGCUUACUUAAAUUUUCUAGGUCAAUUCAGUUUAAUAACUAUAACAAAUUUCAUAAAUGCAUCAAAUUGAAUGUGACGUAUGUGCAUAAAGACAAUUAAAUGAUUUCAUUUCCAUAGUCAUCCGAAAACGCCCUUGUAAAAUUUAACAGACAAAAGGAGUACUGAUUACUAAUAGUGAAGAUGUAGUUACCCACCAGAAGCAAAUGUUUUAUAUCACUGCAGCUCCACUCAUUGUCAUUUUCUUUUGUGAGAUUGAGGAGGGCAUCUAGUACAUCCUUGCUUGCUGAUGAAGUUUUUGAUUGCAACCUUUGAUUUAUUAUACCAUCAAAAAUAUGAAAUAAUUUAUUAAAAUAAAUUUUCAUGUUCCACCGUAUACCUUGUGGAUCAAUCAAUCUAAAGGCCGGGAAAUAAUCUACAAAGUUGGGUCUUCCAACUCCUUCCAUCACACCCCGGGCAAUAUUCUUGAACUCUUGUGAAAAAUUAGAACCAUGAUGAGCCAAAUUAAUGGAGAAAAUAGUGUUCGAUAACAAAUUAAGGCUUGCUGUGAAGACUGCUCCAUUAAUAUCGACUGCACAACCCCUACUGCAACAUUCUUCCACAUGAUCCAGCAGUUCCUGUACAAUUUUUCUCCGAAGGCCUUGGCUGGCAUCGAGCUGCUGCACCGAAAAUAUUUCCCUGGUGCAUAUCUUCCUAAUCUUUCGCCAAUGCACUGAUGCUGGAACCCAUACCACUGAAGACUCAUGAUGAUUAUGCGCUCUGACAGCAUCCGGGACUGUUCGGCUGGAGAAAGCUUGAUCAUUUCUGUGUAGGACCUCUUUUGCAGUUUCUGAAGAGGAAAUGACUAUGGUAGCAAUACUCCCAAGCUUGAGAGACAUUACAGGACCAUAAGUUUUGGAGAGAUUUGCAAGUGAUCGAUGGGGUUUGUCCCCAAGUUUGAGGAUGUUGCCGAUGAUUGGCAAAGGCCGGGGGCCUGGAGGGAGGCUGGCUGUACCAGGUUUCCGGCCAAUCGGACUGAGUUUGAGGAGAUGAAUGCAUGUCCACACAAAGGAAAGCAAAAGCAAAAAUGUUAUGUAAUCCAUUGUCUACUUCUUUUCACUCUUUUCCUCUCUUCUCUUGUUUAUGAGACACGGGAUUCUCCCUAUCGUCUCUGGUAUCUGUAUGGAAACAUGUGGACCAUGAAAUACUAAUCAACAAAACAAUGGUCUACUUUUUAAUUUCUUAUUUGGCUUUAGUGUUAUUUUCAUGAAAAAUCAAGGACGGACCACAGCCAACUUAAUAAACCCGUGAGUGAUUCUGCUACGAAACAACACCAACCAUGGAAAACAAAAUAAUGCUGCAAAACUAACAUAUAACACUGUUAAAAAAAAUCACCAUUCACAGACAAAGCCUUUUACCCAUACAAAUAUACACUAAAGGAAAAAUAUUUAUACAAUAAUCAUGUACGCUUGUCUUUAUGGGUCUUUACUAAUCCUCAAAACUUCUCUUUAUAAGUCAUAUAACCUUUUCUUGGCUUAAUGAAGAUGAGUUUUCAUUCUUCACUUUAAUUUUAAAAGUUAAUAAUCAUUUUUAAACAAAUUUUAAAAUAGAAAACUAACACACCUACAAGCUAUCAAUUUCUCAUUCUUGUUUAUCAAACCAACAACAUUUAUGUUUUACAUAGAAAAAUCAUAUAUAUAUAUAUAUAUAUAUAUACCAAUGUCAUUAAAAAUAUUCUUUUUCUUCUUAUUGUUAUAUAUAUAUAUAUAUAUAUAUAUAUAUAUAUAUACCAAACAUAAUUUUGUUUUUAUUUUUAAAAUAAAAAUAGAAUUAGAAUAUACAAAUUUAAUUAAACAAUUUUUAGUUUUCUACUUCUAGAAAUAGUAAAAAGAUCAAGAUCGUACAUUCCAAUAAUUUUUACUUAUUUAUAAUCUUUGGUGAAAAUAAAAAUGAAAUAAAGCCUGAAAGAUUAGGAUGUGAUGUCAAUAUGAUCAAUACUUGAGUUGUAAGUUGGCAUGGGGUUUAAUUAAAUAAAUUAUGGUAUAUAAUUAAUUAAUGGGCUUGGUCUUGUCUUAACGGACGAAACCACUUAGAGGAAGUGUGAAUAGGUAAGAAUAACUUUCUAACAUCGAUCUCCCUCCUCGUUAGGAUCCAAUCAAUGAAGUAGGCUACUGCUAUAUGAACCUGGAUGCGAUGUGAGGCAGUAUAGAAUGUACUACACUCAAAAAUACCAAAUUGUCAAGCUGGUUUGAUCACAUCAAUCAAUGGAAUACAUAUGGGUAAGAGACAAGCCUCCUCAUAAAAAGCAUGAGCAAUAGCCGCACACUCAACUCGUAAGAGGGUCAGGAUAUUAGAAACCAUAGGAGGAUCAAUGCCUUAAUAUAGACACACAUCCCCAAGUCAAUUUUUGACAAAUCUAUCAAGAAGACACAACAAAGUCUAAACCAUUUAUCAAAACACUAAAAUAUACUCUAGGAAUAUACUAAUAAUGGAUGUUAUCAUAGAACAUCCAAGUGCAGUGAUUAGGGUAUAUAGCCAUUUGAAUAGACAUAAUAGCCUUCCACCUCUAGUCAUAGACAAUGUAGGGAAUACGAGUACCCAAACUUAGAAAAAAUCAUAUAGCACACUUUGGCUCAACAUGUCUCUCAAAGAUUAUAUCAUAGAAUGCAAUCCUAUGUUUCAUAAAAUAGAAAUAAUGAAUGGGAAGGUUAUAUUGUAUAGGAUUGAUGAAUAGGUGUCCUAACAUGAGGAGACCUAGAAUGAGAAGCAGCCUACUUCUAGACCCACCUCUACCACAAGUCAUAGGAAAAAUAAGAGAAAAUUUUGGGAAUAGAAAUUAAUCUAGGAAAGUGUGCGAUCAAAAGUGUCCUAAACAUUGAGCUUAGAGGCCCAUUAAAGUCAAAUAUAAAGAGAAAUUGCAAGAAAAUCUUAUGAAGGAAGAGCAACGAAUGUUAGAAGAGAAAGGAGAUAAAAAUGGAGGCAUAUAGUGAAUAUCAAGUGUUGGUGCACUUUUAAAAUUAAGGACAUUCGAAUAUCUCAUAAAGAGUGUGUAGACCCUUAAUUUUAUUCAUAUUUAUAUGAUAUAAGCUUAUUUAGAUGUAGUCUUUUGACUUACCAUUUCUCUUGACUUUAUUUUAUUCCAUUUUAUAAUUAUUUUUAUUUAACUUUUUCACUUUUAUUCUCUAUUCUUUCUCAGUUCUUCCUUACCUUGCUUUUCUUUCUCUCCACACAUCACCAUACGUGCACCAUGAUUACACUUCCAUUAAUUUCUAAAGAAACAAACAAUUUCCUCCAUUUGUUUUUUAGAAAGGAAUGCGGGUAUAUCUAAGCCAAACUAGAAGUGGGACUUGUGUUGUUGAGUGAUCAUUGUACAUUCAAAUCUAACAAUAAGAUACUGGAGUCCUCCGCGUUAAUUAAUUUUCCAGAUGAUAUAUUGUUUGUCAACAUAAUGUUUGGGAAACACCCCAAUUUGCCACUUAGUUGGCCAAUCUCUACCAUCCUACCAAACACAUUUCUUUUUCUUUCCUUCACUCACUGUUUUACAAAUCUACUUGCAGGGUAACUUUCAACAAUGAAGGAUGGACCACAGCCAAAAGAACGGAUUGUACUAUAGCGCAUGGAAAACAAUAAUGCUGGAAACUAUCUUUCCUUUUUCUCACUGUUUUUCAAAUCUACUUGUUGGGUCGCUUUAAAAAAAAUGAAGGAUGGACCAUAGGCGGAGCUAGAAAAUGACCUGAGAGGGGCCAAAAUAUGAGAACAUAUUUCAGAGGGACAUAAAUGAUUGAAUUUACCUAGUGAUGUAGUGGCAAUGAAAGAUAUUUUUAUUCUUUUCCUAGGUGGGACAAGCACCAUGUGGCUCUGCUCCUGGAUGAACCACAACCAAAAGAAAGGACAAACCGACAUUGCUUGUACUGUAACACUUAGCAUGGAAAACAAUAAUGCAUGUUUUAAAAACUGAUCAAUCAAAGCCUGGUCCAGUUCGAUUCACAUGUUGAGCUGAAGCCAAGGAACCUACUGAACAGAGGUUGAGAUGGACCAAAAAUACCACAUACCACAAAUCUAUAGUAUGGGACCAUUGAUCGAAGAUUCAAAGAAAUGACUGUGCAACCACUAGAUCUAGUGCUAGUUUUGUUAUAUAACAGUUGCAUUAUUAGCUAAAUUUAUCCUACUUAUUUAUGUAAUAAUAAAUUUGAAAAAAUAAUAUAAGCAAAAUAACCUACUAUCUUUUAAAACUAUAAAAUAAUCUAAUAUUUAAUAUGUAAAUAAAGUUAAAUAAUAUUAUAUAUAUAUAUAUAAUAUAAAAUAUGAAAAUGUUAGCUGACUUAUUUCAUGAGCAUUUUUGUUUCAGUCAUCUAAAAAAAUUAACUCUGUUAUUGUUAAACUAUGAUUCCCUGCAAUAAAAACACUACAUUAAACCAUGAUUUCGAUUACUCUGAUGAGCAUAUUCCUCCUUAGUUCUUUCAUCUAUAUUGUAGCACAAGACUAUUACAACUUCUAUCCACCCUUUUAGCUGUUUCUCAUGCAAGUGACACAACAGAGAAAAAACAAAGGUCCCACCUAUUGUACCUAAAUCCUUCUUUAUUUAUAUCAUGAUUUUAUAUAUUUAUACUACCGUUUAGUAAUUAUAUUUUAUCAAAUAUUUUGAAAACCUUGGGUGGGUAUUAGGUAAUAAUAGGGUACAUAAACAACAUAGAAGUUGCAUUCAUUAAAACAUAAAAAUACAAUCAAACUUUGAUUGGAAUAGCCCGUAGAGGCUGGACCUUGUGUAAUGUCAACCCCAAUUUCUCAUUCAUGUCCAUAUCUGCUGGUUUCAUACCAUCGUCAAGCUUCCAAGCAUAGGAAUGAAGAAGAGAGGCCAAUAUCAGGUGCACCAUCCUAUGAGCUAAUGGCAGUCCAAGACAUAUUCUUCUUCCCGCACCAAAUGGAAUCAACUCAAAAUCCCGGCCUUUGACAUCAAUAUCACACCCCAAAAACCUCUCAGGUACGAAUGCAUUUGGGUUCGACCAAGUGCUUGGAUCUCGACCGAUAGCCCAUACAUUAACUAGUACUUGGGAAUUCUUUGGAACUGUGAAGCCGCGUAUUUCUACAUCAGAUUCAGCUUUAUGGGGAGCUAGCAGUGGGCCUGGUGGGUGCAACCUAAAGGUCUCUUUGACUAUGGCUUGAAAGUAAGGGAGCUUUGAGAUGUCUGAUUCUUGAACUAUCCCAUCCUUGCCAAGGACUUCUUGGAGCUCCCUUUGAGCUUUUGCCAUUUUUUCCGGGUUGUGUAGUAGCUCUGCCAUUGCCCACUCUAU
rnacentral:lncRNA from 1 species